UACGUAGGGUGCGAGCGUUGUCCGGAAUUAUUGGGCGUAAAGAGCUCGUAGGCGGCCUGUCGCGUCGGAUGUGAAAGCCCGGGGCUUAACACCGGGUCUGCACUCGAUACGGGCAGGCUAGAGUUCGGUAGGGGAGAUCGGAAUUCCUGGUGUAGCGGUGAAAUGCGCAGAUAUCAGGAGGAACACCGGUGGCGAAGGCGGGUCUCUGGGCCGUUACUGACGCUGAGGAGCGAAAGCGUGGGGAGCGAACAGG
rnacentral:rRNA from 1 species